rnacentral:lncRNA from 1 species
UUUUUACCCCCCGCUGCCGCGGCUUUUUGCGCCCCGCCGCGGCGACUUUUUGCUCCCCGCCUCCGCGGCUUUUUGCGCCCCGCCGCCGCGGUUUUUGCCAACGCGGCUUUUUACCCCCAUCACCGCGGCUUUUUACUCCCCGCCGCCGCGGCUUUUUGCCCCCGCCGCCACGGCUUUUGCCGACGUGGCUUUUUGCGCCCCGCCGCCGCGGCUUUUGGCCGUCGCGUCUUUUUGCCCCCGCCGCCCCGGCUUUUUGCCCCCGCCACCGCGGGUUUUUGCCGCCGAGGCUUUUUGGCUCCGCCGCCGCGGCUUUUUGCCCUCGCCGCCGCGGAUUUUUACCUCCGCAGCCGCUGCUUUUUGCAGCUUUUUCCCCCACCGCCGCGGGUUUUGCGGACGCGGCUUUUUGCGCCCACCGCCGCGGCUUUUUGCUCCGUGCCGCUCGUUUUUGUCCCCGCCGCCGCGGCUUUUUGACCCCGCCGCCGCAGCUUUUUCCCCCAGUCGCGGGUUUUCGCCCCCACCGCAGCGAUUUUCUGCCCCCGCCGCCGAGGCUUUUUGCCCCCGCCGCCACUACUUUUUGCGGCUUUUUGCCCACGCCGCCGCGGCUUUUUCCCCCACCGCCCGAGCUUUUUGCCGCCGGAGCUAUCAGCCCCCGCCGCCGUGGCUUUUUCCCCCGAUGCCGCGGCGUUUUGCCCCCGCCUCCGCGGUUUUUUUGUCCCCGCCGCUGAGACUUUUUGCCGCCAUAGCUUUUUACCCGCGCCGCCACGGCUUUUUGUGGUUUUUUUUGCCCCCACUCCCGCUGCUUUUUGCUCCUGCCACCGCGGCUUUUUGCCCCCGCCGCGGAUUUUUACCCCCGCCGCGGAGGAUUUUUCCCCUGGUGCUGCGGCUCUGAGGGCAGGAGCGGCAGACUCGGCUGCUAGCUCCACUGGCGUCCUGGCAAGGGCAGCGCCGAGGGGCGCUCCUGGUCCAGCUCUCCUGGCUCGGGGGUUCUUUGCCUAGGCGCCGGCGCCCCGGGCUCCCUGCCUCGGCCUCUGUGGCCUGCAUAGAGCGGCGCUGCGCGCAGAGGCGAUGGGAGAGAAGAAGGAGGGUGGUGGCGGGGGUGAUGCGGCAUUAGCGGAAGGUGGCGCAGGGGCCGCGGGCAGCUCCAGAAGCUCAUUGGCAUCUUCAUUGGCAGCCUUCGCUGGCUGGGCACCAAGUGCGCUGUGUCGAACGACCUCACCCAGCAGAAGAUACCGACCCUGGAGGUAAGGGGUUCGGGGACCCGGGCUGGGCUCCAGGAGGAGCUCAGACACCUCCCUCGGGGCCCCAGUUCACUCCUGGCCCAGUUGCAUCCUUGAGCCCGCAUUGCGCCCUUGGAGUCUUCCCCUCCCUCCUGCAUUCGCUGAUGCGGCAGCAGGAGGACCCGGGACCAGCCCUCACCUUGAGCGCGAUUUGUGGGGCGGGUGCGUGGUGGGAACUGGGAUGAAGGAUCCAGGGUCCUGUGGGGGGGGGUGGUGGGCUGUGCGCGGACAUCCCCUUCCACCCUGAAUUUCCAUCUGGUCCAGCCCUCUCAUCUUGUAGGUGAGGAAACCGAAGGCCUGAGGAAGAACUGACUUGCCAGGAACCCCUGUUAAGGAGAAUUAUCAAAGUGUGGUUAUUAAAGGAGAACUGAGAUGGGAGUCAGACCUGGAGGCCCACACUCUUGGUUAAGACAUUAUACCACCUUGAGUCUGGCCUGUUUACUGAGGGUGAGCCACUCCAUCCUUGUCUGAUUGUGGGGUCUUGACCUCAAGGGGUUUCCUGCAGGAAGAAGCAAAUGGGUUUGCUUUCCUAGCUCUGUCCAGUAUCUUAGGGACCCUGAGGACUGAAGAGAUUCUUGUAGAGCCAUCUGGUGUAUGUCAUGGGUGGGCCUUUUUUGAAUGUCAGUCUGCCCAGUGAGCUGGCUCAGCCUGAAUGAACUGUCUUGAAUCUUUGGAGUUGUCUGUGUACUUUUAAGGGUUUCUCAUCCUUGCACCAAAAGAUCCCCUGGAAAUUAGGUGGGAAAACCUUAACUUUUGUGGGGCCUUUUGUUUGUCUUAAAAGUUCAUGCACAUGGCCAGGUGUGGUGGCUCCCACCUGUUAUCCUGUCCUGGAUCCCUUGAGUCAAGGAGUUUGAGACCAACCUGGACAAUAUAGUGAGACCCUGUCUCUACAAAAAAUAAAAUGUUAGCCAGGGGUGGUUGUGCACAUCUCUAGUCCCAGCUACUACUGUGGCUGAGGUGGGAGGAGCACUUGAUCCUGCACUGAGCUGUGAGCUCACCAGUGUACUCCAGCCUGGGCCACAGAGCAAGACCGUGACUCAAAAAAAAAAAAAAAAAAGACAGGAAAAAUUCUUGAAGAUUUUGCAUUCUGUCCCACUAUCUAUUGGUUUUCAUGUCAAGAUAAUGUCAGAAAUUCUUUACAAUUGCUUCCAGAAGGAGUAGCCUUUUGAUCUAGUGCACAGGUGUCCAGUCUUUUGGCUUCUUAGGGCCACAUUGGAAGAAGAAUGCUCCUGGGCCACACAUAAAAUACACUAAUGCUAACAACAGCUGAUGAGCUUAAAAAAAAAAAAAGGUUUUUGCAUAAUUUUCAUGAUACCCACCACCACAGAUAGGCGGAAAAGUCCUUGUAGUCAAAGGGUUGACACGGCUGAUCUAGUGUCUGUCUGUUUUGGCUUUCUCCCUGAUUCCAGAAUGCAGGUAGAGAUGUAGAGACAUGCUCUCAGGACAGCUGUUGAGAUAAAAAAAAAUUCGUUGUCAUUUAUUCCCAAGCACAGCUGUUUCUCAUUGCAUUGAAAAAGUCUCCAUUCAAACUGCUGUCACAUAAAAUCUAUUUAUGUAAGUCUGUAUUUUUCUGUUGUCUUGGCCUUUGUAGGCAGUAGUGUGUUUUAACCGAGCAAACUAUCCUUCCAAAUAAUGAAGCCGAAGUCAGCCUACCUGCUUGCCAUUUUUCUUCCCCUUCCAUUUUUGUAACCUCAGAAUAAUUGUAAGAAUGAAUUAAGAUUUGUGUUUAAGGCCAGGCACAGUGUAUCAGGCCUGUAAUCUUAGCACUUUGGGAGGCGGAGACGGAUGUAUCGCUUGAGCUCAGGAGUUGAAGACCAGCCUGGGCAACAUACUGAGACUCCGUCUUGUAUAAUUUAAUUAAAAUUUAAAAAAAGAAGAGAAAAAGACCUGUGUUUAAAAUUUUAAAAAAGGGGGGAAAGUGUAAUGCAAAAUGUGGACUAUGCCAGCUAUGAUUGGGAAAACUAGUUUUUCAUACAGCAUUAUCUGUAGACUUGUAUUAGCAGCACACUGGUCAUAAGCGUUUUGCUUUCCUCAAAUAUGAUGAGGUAAGCUAAUUCAAAGUGUGUUGGGGCUUUCUGCCGCGUGGCUCCUGGAGGUGUUGAGUCCCAAUUUAGCCAAUUAAUUUGGGUUUAGUUUUGAUAUGGAUAAGGGAGACCAGCUUCAUUCAUGGUGUACACACAGUUUUGCCAAUAAGGAGAAAAAAAAAGCCACCUGAAUGUUCCUACUCAGAGCUCCUACCCCACCCCCACCAAGGCCCGGGCCAUUAAAAAGACUCAAUGCAGCCUUUCUGUAUCUCAUACUGUAUUCUGCAAGGUACUCCUGUGAAAGAAAGUUGUGCUGCAUCAGCCAUCUCCCUCCUGAAGAUCCCUGCGGAUGAGGAUUUGUGUUUUGAAGGUUCUGAGAAUUCCUGCAACAACAAUUCUCAAACUUAUUUGUCCAGGGGAUCUUUUCUUCCACUGAAUGUAGUUGGGGAGACAUGGCCUUAAGCCUUGAGCAGAGAAAGAGACAACUGUUGGCUCACUUACAACCAAGUGUUGUGUUUAUGUUUUAGGUUUUUACGAAACUGAGGUGCUGUUUGAGGUUCUAAAUGAAAUUGGGUGGUUGAAGAGAGGCUGGUGUCCCUGUAGACUUAGCCAGCCAUGAGAAGUUGCCUUUUGUUGAAGGAGGUGUUUUACAAAGGGAAAUAGGGUGUCUCCUGGGCAUCGCAUUAGCACUUAAAUACAUGUAUCACUGAAAUGAAAUGAAAUGAUGAAAUGAUGACAUGAAAUGGUGAAAUGAAAUGAAAUAAUGAAGUGAAAUGAUGAAAUGAAAUGAUGAAAUGAUGAAAUGAAAAGAUGAAAUGAUGAAUUGAGGAAAUGAUAUGAAAUGAUGAAAUGAAAAGGUGUAAUGAAACGAAAUGAUUAAAUUAAAUGAGAUUAAAAGAUGAAAUGAUGAGAUGAAAUCAUGAGAUGAAAUGAUGAGAUGAAAUGAUGAAAUGAUGAAAUGGAAUGAUGAAAUGAUGGUGAAAUGAAAUGAAAAGAUGAAAUGAUGAAUUGAGGAAAUGAUAUGAAAUGAAAUGAAAUGAUGAAAUGAAAUGAAAAGGUGUAAUGAAACGAAAUGAUUAAAUGAAAUGAGAUUAAAAGAUGAAAUGAUGAGAUGAAAUGAAAUCAUGAGAUGAAAUGAUGAGAUGAAGUGAAAUGAUGAAAUGUAAUGAAAUGAUGAAAUGGAAUGAUGAAAUGAAAUGAUGAAAUGGUGAAAUGAAAUGAAAUGAAAUGAUGAAAUGAAAUGAUGAAGUGAAAUGAAAUGAGAAGAUCAAAUGGUGAAAUGAAGAAAUGAUAUGAAAUGAUGAAAUGAAGUUAAAUGAUUAAAUGAUGAAAUAAUGAAAUGAUGAAAUGAUGAAUUGAUGAAAUGAUCAAAUGAAAUGACGAGAUGAAAAGAUGAAAUGAAAUGAUGAAAUGAGAUGAAAAGAUGAAAUGAGAUGAGAUGAAAUCAGAUGAAAUGAUGAGAUGAAGUGAAAUGAUGAAAUGAUGAAAUGACGAAAUGCAACAAUGAGAAGAAAUGCUGAAAUGAAAUAAUGAAAUGAAACGAUGAAAUGAUGAGAUGGAAUGAUGAAAGGAUGAAAUGAAAUGAUGAAAUGAGGAAAUGAAAUGAUGAAAUAAAAUGAUGAAGUGAAAUGAUGGAAUGAAAAGAUGAAAUGAUGAAAUGAUAUGAAAUGAUGAGAUGAUGACAUGACGUCAAAUGAUGAAAAGAUGAAAUAAAUGAAAUGAUGAAAUGAUGAGAUGAAAUCAUGAGAUGAAAUGAUGAAAUGAGAUGAAGUGAAAUGACGCAAUGAAAUGUUGAGAUGAAGUGAUGAAAUGAAAUGAUGAAAUGAAACAAUGAAAUGAAGUGAAAUGAGAUGAGAUGAAAUGAUGAAUUGAUGAAAUGAGAUGAAAAGAUGAAAUGAUGAGAUGAAAAGAUGAAAUGAUGAAAUGAUGAGAUGAAAUAAAAUGAGAUGAUGAAAUGAGAUGAAGUGAAAUGAUGAAAUGAAAUGAAAUGUUGAGAUGAAAUGAUGAAAUGAAAUGAAAGAAUGAGAUGAAAUGAUAAAAUGAGAUGAAAUGAAAUGAUGAAAUGAAAGGAUGAAAUGAUGAAAUGAAAUGAGAUGAAAUGAGGAAAUGAAAUGAUGAAAUAAUGAAAUGAUGAAAUAGAUGAAAAAUACUUAUUCAUUUUUUUUCUUGGCAUCCUUCUAAGAGUAUUUUAGUGUGGUUAAUUUCUAAAAAUAAGUUGCUAUUCAAUGGCUAUACAGUUGGCCUUUGCUCCACAGGGGUUUGAACUGUGCACGUCCACUUAGCAAAACCAACAAUUCUACAUCCUUAUCCACACCCUGCCUAUGAAAAGGAUGAGGAUGAAGACCUGUUUGAUCAUCUACUUCCAUUUAAUGAUUAGUAAAUAUAUUUUCCUUAUGAUUUGCUUUUUUCUUUUCUCUGGCAUGUUUGUUAAGAAUACAGUAUAUAAGACAUAUAACAUAUUAAAUAUGGGUUAAUUGACUGUGUUAUUUGUAAGGCUUAGAGUAGUCUAUUAGUAGUUAAGUUUUGGGGGAGUCAAAGUUAUAGUGGAUUUUCUACUGUGCAGGGGGGCCAGCACCCCAACCUCCGUGUUGCUUAAGGGUCAACUGUACAUGUUAUUUCCUUUCCUGUAAGAGAAAAAUGAUGAGAAGGUCUUUUCUCCAAUAAGUGUAUUCAAAAUGUAGCAGAUUUGAAAUGUGUUGGCGCCACCAUUUUGCGUCUCACUUUGAAAACUUAUUAUUUAAAAUCGUACUAAAGCCUAUCUUACUUUUCCAACAUUAGAAAAAAUGUUACAAAGAAAAGGGGUGAAACCAUGCUAGUUUGCCCUGAAAUUUGACCUUAUCUUUUAAAAAUAUAUUUUUACAUUAAUUACUUCCAAAAUAGAGAUCAGUUGCAUACAAAUGGCAGGUCACCGUAAUCCACCCUAUGGCUGCACUUAGAUUCAUGAGGAAUUGUGCCAACUAGAAAGGGCAGAGAAGAGGAAUA